UUUGAAUAUGGCUCAGGACGAACGCCUGGCGGCGUGCUUAACACAUUGCAAGUUCGAACGAUGAAGCCUAUCCUGCUAGGUGGAUUAGUUGGCGAACGGGUGAGUAAUACGUGAGUUGACCUACCUUUGACUCUGGGAUAAGCCUGGGAAACUGGGUCUAAUACCGGAUACGACCAAUCUCCGCAUGGGGUGUUGGUGGAAAGCGUUAUGGAGUGGUUUUAGAUGGGCUCACGGCCUAUCAGCUUGUUGGUGAGGUAAUGGCUUACCAAGGCGACGACGGGUAGCCGGCCUGAGAGGGUGACCGGCCACACUGGGACUGAGACACGGCCCAGACUCCUACGGGAGGCAGCAGUGGGGAAUAUUGCACAAUGGGCGCAAGCCUGAUGCAGCGACGCCGCGUGAGGGAUGACGGCCUUCGGGUUGUAAACCUCUGUUAGCAUCGAAGAAGCGAAAGUGACGGUAGGUGCAGAGAAAGCGCCGGCUAACUACGUGCCAGCAGCCGCGGUAAUACGUAGGGCGCGAGCGUUGUCCGGAAUUAUUGGGCGUAAAGAGCUUGUAGGCGGUUGGUCGCGUCUGCUGUGAAAGGCUGGGGCUUAACCCUGGUUUUGCAGUGGGUACGGGCUAACUAGAGUGCAGUAGGGGAGACUGGAAUUCCUGGUGUAGCGGUGGAAUGCGCAGAUAUCAGGAGGAACACCGAUGGCGAAGGCAGGUCUCUGGGCUGUAACUGACGCUGAGAAGCGAAAGCAUGGGGAGCGAGCAGGAUUAGAUACCCUGGUAGUCCAUGCCGUAAACGUUGGGCACUAGGUGUGGGGGACAUUCCACGUUUUCCGCGCCGUAGCUAACGCAUUAAGUGCCCCGCCUGGGGAGUACGGCCGCAAGGCUAAAACUCAAAGAAAUUGACGGGGGCCCGCACAAGCGGCGGAGCAUGCGGAUUAAUUCGAUGCAACGCGAAGAACCUUACCAAGGCUUGACAUAUACUGGACUGCGUCAGAGAUGGCGUUUCCCCUCGGGGCUGGUAUACAGGUGGUGCAUGGUUGUCGUCAGCUCGUGUCGUGAGAUGUUGGGUUAAGUCCCGCAACGAGCGCAACCCUCGUUCUAUGUUGCCAGCACGUGAUGGUGGGGACUCAUAGGAGACUGCCGGGGUCAACUCGGAGGAAGGUGGGGAUGACGUCAAAUCAUCAUGCCCCUUAUGUCUUGGGCUUCACGCAUGCUACAAUGGCCGGUACAGAGGGUUGCGAUACUGUGAGGUGGAGCUAAUCCCUAAAAGCCGGUCUCAGUUCGGAUUGGGGUCUGCAACUCGACCCCGUGAAGUUCGGAGUCGCUAGUGAAUCGCGAAUUCAGCGAACGGCUGCGGUAAUGACGUUUCCCGGGCCUUCCCGCCCCGCCC
rnacentral:rRNA from 1 species